AUAUUCGGAAGACAUUUGAACACUGAGGCUCUCCUUUGUCCAUCAAUCUAUCCUUCACUCCAUGCUUCAUGGGAAGGAAUGGAAGAGGGAACCCACCCAUUCCAAUAAUGGAAAAACUCCUUUCCACUGUCUCACUUUGAGAGAUGGAAGAAAGGGAACCCAGGCCUACAAGGCAUAGUGAGUAGAAGCAGAGCACACAGGACUCGAGCACUAUGUGAGAUGGAGCACUGUUGUGAAAUGAAGUAAGAAGAGACAGAAUAGAUUAUCUAAAUGGUCUGCUCAAGGACAACAAUAUUUGACCACCACAUUUAACACUUAGAGCUGACAUUCCCCAUCUGCCACAAACUAGGUAAAGCAAGUGAAGCAGCAGUUCAAGCUUCCUUUGCACUCUUCCAUCCAUGUGGAGGCAUCAUCGACAAAGCAAGAAGAAUUUAACGGAAACCAACAGAAGUCACAUGCGUGGAACAAGUGCAGAAUAUGCAUUGAAGAUCUGCAUUGAAGAGGAGAACUCCACAGUGUUGGUCAGAAUGGAGAAUAUUGCCUACAGACUGGAAGUAUCAUUUGAUGGCAAAGAUUUUAUACAGUGGUGAACUUUCUGCUUAACUCAAAGCCUACUUUUUGCCUUUGAAGCCUUUCUUGAUUUUAUUUUAUUCCUUUGUCCUGCCUGUAGCUAUUUCAGUUUUUCUUUGAUUGACACCAGCUAAAUCACAUCUGUGUCAUCAUCAGGUUGAACAGUAAACAGAAAAAAGGCGACAAGCACUUUGGAAACAUUAAACAGUUUUGUUUUUUUUU